UGGGGAAUUUUGGACAAUGGGGGAAACCCUGAUCCAGCCAUCCCGCGUGUGCGAUGAAGGCCUUCGGGUUGUAAAGCACUUUUGGCAGGAAAGAAACGUCAUGGGUUAAUACCCCGUGAAACUGACGGUACCUGCAGAAUAAGCACCGGCUAACUACGUGCCAGCAGCCGCGGUAAUACGUAGGGUGCAAGCGUUAAUCUGAAUUACUGGGCGUAAAGCGUGCGCAGGCGGUUCGGAAAGAAAGAUGUGAAAUCCCAGAGCUCAACUUUGGAACUGCAUUUUUAACUACCGGGCUAGAAUGUGUCAGAGGGAGGUGGAAUUCCGCGUGUAGCAGUGAAAUGCGUAGAUAUGCGGAGGAACACCGAUGGCGAAGGCAGCCUCCUGGGAUAACACUGACGCUCAUGCACGAAAGCGUGGGGAGCAAACAGG
rnacentral:rRNA from 1 species